GGGCGGGGCUGGGCGCGGGGGGCCCCGGCAACCCUUAUCGUAUCGCGCAGAAAGCAAACUGCGCCUGGGCAACCAGUCGGGAGGGUGAGCCCCGCGCGCGACAGAAGCUUCUGGCGCGAAUGGAGAACCAAGAGUUUCUAAGUUCGUCUGCGCCGUCCGAGGUGACCGAUGGGCCGGUCUCAACAGAAAUAUCCACUUGCUCUGAAGUCUUCCAGAAGCCCAUUGUGCUCAGGAUUCUGGACACUCACAGAGAGCUUGAGGAGUCCGAGGAUCCCGAGAAACACGAGAAUCCCGAGGAACCCGAGGAGGUCAAGGAGCAAGACCAGCGAGACGAGUCCGAGGAAUGUGAUGAGCCUCACGAGUCCUAUGAGCCCCACGCUCCCUAUGCGCCCCACAAGCCCCGGGACUCCUAUGCAUCUUACGAACUCCUUGGGCCCCAUGCAGCCCCCAAACUCCUCAAGGCCCGUGAACCCCGCCAGCUCCGCCACACCCGUGAGCCCCGCAAGUCCCGCGAGGCCAAGGAAACCGAGUUGCUUCCCAGCGCCGCAGUAAUGAUCUCCCCCUCUCUGAUCACCAGAGCCCCGCCACGGCCUCAGCUGUCUUUCCUGGGUGCAAAUCCUGUUUCCUGUGACUUUGUAAGGAAAUGUUUUUCUUCUAGGAAGAGAACCCCAAAUCUUUCAAAGCCUAAAAAGCAAUGGGGAACUCCAGACAGAAAACUGUUUUGGGGAAAUCAAGAUCCUAUUCGCCCUGUUUCCCAGGGUGCUUUGAAGGCUCAGCUGACCAAAAGACUUGAGAACCUUGCCCAGCCCAAGGAAGUUUCCUGCCACUAUGUACCUAACAGGGCUCAAUACUACCACAGCUGGGGAAGAGAGUCUGUAAUUUGGGAGAUCACUCCUCCUGCGUUGUUUAGACAACCCUCCAAAAGGAUCCAGAGGCUGUCACAGCCCAAUGGAUUCAAAAGACAGUGUCUACUAAAUAGACCCUUCAGUGAUAACUCAGCAAGAGAUUCUCUUCGAAUCUCUGAUCCUUCUCCCCGGAUAUUACAACUCUCAGUAGCCAAAGGCACAGACCCAAACUAUCAUCCUUCAAAAAAAAUGCAAACCAAGAUUUCACUUUCUACCCUGAGUGCGAUUGCAACUCCAAGAAUUAUAGAGCUUGCCCACCCAAGGAUCAAGUUAGAGGGUCUGUGCUAUGAAAGACAAAGAAGUGAACUGCCCAUCCGUCCUGUAAGCUAUCACUACCUUCAGCUCACUUUUUGGCUGCUCUUAGGAUGCCAUUUUGCCUCUACAGGGCAUAGCCCAAAGUCACUGGAAAAGAGAAUCUGGGAAGAGUGGUCUGUGGCAGGAAGAGAGACUAGCUAGAUGAUAGGGAGAGAGGGAAAAGAGUAGAGCACCAAGAGCAUGGGCUUUGGAGUUCAGUUUUGGAGCUGGAUUCAAAUUGCAGCCUCGUCACUACAAGCUCUAUGAUGUUGGGACAAACUUCCUGAGCUUUAUUCAUUCAACAAAUAUUUGGAUGCCUACUGUGAGCCAGGCAGUGAUCCCAGUGAACAACUUGGAGCUCUAUGCUAAUCAGGGGAGACAAACAAUAAAUUAGUCAAUAGAUAAUGUCAGAUCAUGCUAAAUGCUAUCAGGAAAAUAACAUAGAAAAUGAAUGACUGUGGGGCAGGGCGGUAAGAUACUUUGCCUAUGGUAGUCAGUGAAGGCCUCUCUAAGGAAGGAAUAUUUGAGCUGAAACCUGACUGAUAAGGAGUCAACCAAGUGAAGAUCUAGAAGAAUAUUCCAGUAAAGGGAAGAGUACAUGCCAAAGUACUAAAGUUGGGAUGCACUUGAAAUUGGGUGGAGCAAGGUGAGCUACAGAAUUCUGGAGAUAGCCGCCCUCACCGAGUGGUCUGCUGUGUUGAGCAAUAACAGGUACCUCCUGCUGCCAUGAUAGCUAAACCUAGCCCCCGAACAAUAGCUCUAGCGAAGUCCAAGUCUGUUCAUCAAGAUUAUCUACCUGACCGUGAUGCCCAUUGGCCAGUAUCUUAUGCUACUACUCAUUCCAAAGCAUCACCUAGGAUUCAGGAACUAGCUAAUCCAAAUAAGAGGGCUCCUGUGCGUAUUGUGUAUUAUGAUCCAGAUGUCUUUAAAACCAAGCCAGCUGCUUUGAAAGCACAGUGUUCUCAAAGGAUCCGGGAGUUGUCACAACCUCUUACACGUUAAUUACAGAAAGCCACAACAGUCAGACCCUGGUUAUGUAUCUAGAACACAUAUUAGAUGACUUAGUUCCCUGUUGCGGUACUGUCAGUUUACAUUCACCCCUUGCUUCCCCUCCCACAAAAUGAGACCUUUAGGGAAAACCACCAUGAUCAUUAAAUAGCAGUUGUUGCUGUUACCUGUCACUGAAUCUUUAGCAGAUUUGAGGACUCCAGCAUGCAAUAAAUGAGAAAAUGAGAGACUG